GACGAACGCUGGCGGCGUGCUUAACACAUGCAAGUCGAACGAUGAAGCCGGAGCUUGCUCUGGUGAAUUAGUGGCGAACGGGUGAGUAACACGUGAGUAACCUGCCCUUGACUCUGGGAUAACUGCUAGAAAUGGUAGCUAAUACCGGAUACGACCCUCGGAGGCAUCUCCAGGGGGUGGAAAGAAUUUCGGUCAAGGAUGGACUCGCGGCCUAUCAGCUAGUUGGUGAGGUAAUGGCUCACCAAGGCGACGACGGGUAGCCGGCCUGAGAGGGGGGCCGGCCACACUGGGACUGAGACACGGCCCAGACUCCUACGGGAGGCGGCAGUGGGGAAUAUUGCACAAUGGGCGCAAGCCUGAUGCAGCAACGCCGCGUGAGGGAUGACGGCCUUCGGGUUGUAAACCUCUUUUAGUAGGGAAGAAGCGAAAGUGACGGUACCUGCAGAAAAAGCACCGGCUAACUACGUGCCAGCAGCCGCCGUAA
rnacentral:rRNA from 1 species